rnacentral:rRNA from 1 species
GACGAACGCUGGCGGCGUGCUUAACACAUGCAAGUCGAACGGAAUCCAUGGUGUAGCAAUACACCGGAAGAUUUAGUGGCGAACGGGUGAGGAUCACGUGAGAAACGUGCCCCAGACUCUGGGAUAACAAUUGGAAACGGUUGCUAAUACCGGAUGACGUCGGAGAAUCGCAUGAUUCACUGACGAAAGAUAUUUCGGUUUGGGAGCGUCUCGCGGCCUACCAGCUUGUUGGUGGGGUAAUGGCCUACCAAGGCAACGACGGGUAGCUGGUCUGAGAGGAUGAUCAGCCACACUGGGACUGAGACACGGCCCAGACUCCUACGGGAGGCAGCAGUGGGGAAUCUUGCGCAAUGGGCGGAAGCCUGACGCAGCAACGCCGCGUGCGGGAUGAAGGCCUUCGGGCUGUAAACCGCUUUCAGCAGGAACGAAAAUGACGGUACCUGCAGAAGAAGGAGCGGCCAACUACGUGCC